CAGGAGCUGCAACAAAGGGGUACGCUCAGGAAUGAGGCACCAUGUUUUGGGCCCAAGGAUCCAGUAAUGAAGAGGAGGCCUCCAGCCUUGCUCCCUGUUAUUGAGCAACAGGAAAUACCGUCUCUGUUUUCCACUGAGCUGGGCCAGGAGUGAUGUUGGUGAAAUCAGAACUGGUUGUUUCAUGGGCGCAUCCUGACAGCUGUGUGUGAUUUAAGCCAUCUCGGCAUCCUCUUGAGCUCUGCCUUCUAAUGCUUACAGUACAACUCCCAGCUAGCUUAAAUGGAAAAGCAGCUGACUCAGAAGAGUUGUAUUUACGCUGAUGUACUUUUUCUUUGGAGAAAUAAAGUCACUGAGAACUAAAACAUGGGAGAAGCAAGAGGAUUUAACUGUCAGAAAAACUUUGUUUCACAAUUAACCUUGGGACUUGGGAAAGAAGAAACGAUGGACUGCUUUCCGGCAGGUAGCAACUUUCAGCGGUCCUGAACUGGAAGGGCAGGUCUGAGCAAAUGAAAGAAAAACAACUGAGUCACUGGGAAUGAAAACAGUGACUGCGCCAAUGCUAUGAUAAGAUUUGAUGCAUCUGAUCAACCACAGACUCCCCCCAAAACCAAUAUUGAUUCUUCUGCAAGGGUCAAUAUGUGAACCUCUACAAAAGUAUUAAGGGAAUUGUCCCUCCCCUAAGGGAGUCUGUUCUUUGCCACCUCUCCUAUUGUCUCUGUUUUCGGUGGUACUGCAUAGUGCUCCUCUUAAGAUAAGACCAAAAGGGAAAGGAAAACAAAGGCUGAGAAACAAGAGGAGGGGGAAAGAGACAAUUAGAAAUUAACAGGAGAAAAGAGAGAAAAUAAAUAAUGGCGAUUAGGAAAAAUAAAUCCACUAAAGUAAAUGGGAGAGUGUGUAUAUAAAUAGAAUAAAAAUAAUGAAAAAUCCCCUUGUGAAAUGGCAUGUGCAUCAACCCAGAAAUAAGGGAGCAUGAGGUUUAGCUGUGCUUUCAAGUACUGCGGUUACCAGAAAGGACCACGUAUGAGGCAUUUCCAAGUUUUUCCUUCUAUUAUGCUUAUACUUUCUGGUGCGUUAUGUAUGUCUCCGUACCUUCUUACAUAGCAACCUCAUAGUAAGUGCGGUUUCUGAGAGCACCAAACAAGACAAUGAUAGAUGUUUCUCUACUGCUGCAUCUUUCUGCAAGCAGCUGAUUGUGAAAAACUUGUCUGAACAGGGUAAGGAAAAGGAGUUCCUAUUGUCACCCCUCUGUCAAACCGUCUACAUGCUCUAGCCUGAGACAGAAUCAUUUUUACCGUGGAUGCAAAGCUACCAGACAGACCCUUAUGAAAUGUAUCCACCUUUUCUAAGUUGCUGUUGCCCUGCAGUGCUGCCACUUACUGAAAUACAGUGCUACAUUUUUUUUCAUUAAUUUUACAUUUCUUAUUUCUUAGGUAGACAAGAAGCUGUUAACUUCUUCCAGCAGAGAAGUCAGUAAUGUACCUAGAUGGGGUAAAAGGUAGCUUUCAAGUAGUUCUAAUGUACGCAGUUUUGAGCAAAGGGCAAGAAUAUGUACUUAUGCCUAGGACAUUGACUAUUACUAGUUGAACUAUUAAGAAACACGUUUGCUAUUGAUGAAAGCAUAAGGAAUAUCACGUAUGUUAGGACAAGAGAGCAUCUAACUGAAGCACCUCUUUCUUUUCUUAAAAGAAACAGUGCCUCUUUUAAUGCCUAAAGGCAAAUAAAGGAGAAGCAAAGAACUCAUAAUCUGUGAAGGGCAACGGGUCAGAUCAACUUUGUUUCUGAUGGGGGGGGGGGGGGGAAGUGGCUGAGAGGUUUACACUUUAAAUCCUAGCAGGAAAACAGACAUGGUUCUGAUUACUCCCUUCUUUCCACACCCGAUGCAACUUAACUGAAAGCAAAGAUCCAGUGCCUCACAAAGGUAUAUAAGGAGCUCCUAGGAGGAAACCAAGCUGUUUAAUAUCCCUGUCUGCAUUCCUAAGUGUCACACUCACAGUUAGUCCUCUCCAUUUUUCCUUGCUAGAUAGCUUGUUAGUGGCCACGACACUCCAGAGUUCAGGAGAAAGAUGAUUCUGUGCAACUAUUCACCUCAAGUUACUAAAGUAUUUUAAAAGCACAGUGCUUGGUGCUAGCUCCAUUUUUAGCAAGGAAAGCAAUCAAAACACUUGAAAAGCUGUAUUUCAGCUGUCAGGAAUUUGGCUGAAUGGCUAAAGCAAACACCCAAGGAGUCUAAAAAACCAACAAACCCGAAACCCCCUAACCUCCUUCCUGGUAAUAAAAAACUCACAUAUCUGAUGUACUUUGGCCCUGAUUGUGCAAUCAUUCUUGGAACAGAGAUCUCAAGAUUUUGGAGGAAGUUCAGUCUGACUGACAUGAAAAACUAAAUUUCAAGUUCACAAAUCCUUACAUUAACCUGAAAACUGCCACUCACCUUCAAAGAAGCUGCCCCAAUAAAGGACCACUCAUCUUUUUGGUGUGGUUUUCUAAGGAUAUAAGGCCUAUACAGUCUCACUGCAUCUGUAUAUCCAUAAUAAUUUGGAGGACUGUUGCAAGUUUCACCUAACCUUCUCAGAAAGAUAGAAAUAUUGGAGAUAAUGUGAUCUUAUAGGUUUCAUUACAGUA